CAAAAGCUUGGUCCUGACUUUACUAUCAGCUUUAACUCAACUUACACAUGCAAGUAUCCGCACCCCUGUGAAAAUGCCCUCAAUCCCCCGGCCGGGGACGAGGAGCUGGCAUCAGGCACACUCAAAUCUAGCCCAAGACGCCUUGCUUUGCCACACCCCCAAGGGAACUCAGCAGUGAUAAACAUUAAGCCUAUAAGUGAAAGCUUGACUUAAUUAGAGUUAUAUAGGGUCGGUAAAACUCGUGCCAGCCACCGCGGUUAUACGAGAGACCCCAGUUGAUAGGCACGGCGUAAAGAGUGGUUAGGAAAUUUAAUUAAUAAAGUCAAAUAACCUUUAGGCCGUUGCACGUAUUCUGAGAACAUGAAGCCCCACUACGAAAGUAACUUUACCACCUCCGACCCCACGAAAGCUAAGAAACAAACUGGGAUUAGAUACCCCACUAUGCUUAGCCCUAAACCUAGAUAUUUAUUUUACAAAAAAUAUCCGCCAGGGGACUACAAGCGCUAGCUUAAAACCCAAAGGACUUGACGGUGUCUCAGACCCACCUAGAGGAGCCUGUUCUAGAACCGAUAAUCCACGUUUAACCUCACCACCCCUUGUUUUUCCCCCGCCUAUAUACCGCCGUCGCAAGCUUACCCUGUGAAGGGUUAACAGUAAGCAAGAUGGGUAUACCCCAGAACGUCAGGUCGAGGUGUAGCUUACGAGGUGGGAAGAAAUGGGCUACAUUUUCUGUAUCAGAAUAUACGAAUGGCACUAUGAAACUAGUGCCUGAAGGUGGAUUUAGUAGUAAAAAUCAAAUAGAGAGUCAUUUUGAAUUAGGCUCUGAGACGCGCACACACCGCCCGUCGCCCUCCCCAACAAAACUAAACUAAGUAAAUAACCCAUAAAUUAUUUUAAACGGGGAGAUAAGUCGUAACAUGGUAAGUGUACCGGAAGGUGUACUUGGAACAU
rnacentral:ncRNA from 1 species